rnacentral:rRNA from 1 species
UACGAAGGGGGCUAGCGUUGCUCGGAAUCACUGGGCGUAAAGCGCACGUAGGCGGACUCUUAAGUCGGGGGUGAAAUCCUGGGGCUCAACCUCAGAAUUGCCUCCGAUACUGGCAGUCUCGAGUGCGGGAGAGGUGAGUGGAAUUCACAGUGUAGAGGUGAAAUUCGUAGAUAUUGGGAAGAACACCAGUGGCGAAGGCGGCUCACUGGCCCGUAACUGACGCUGAGGUGCGAAAGCGUGGGGAGCAAACAGG